AACUGAAUGCAUGAACUUUUACUGUAUUUGCAUGAAAAUAUAAAUCCUAUUAUAUUGGGUACUUGUGCAAUUUAGCCUGAUGGAUUUUUUCCAACUUAUGAAAGUUAGGAAUUGAAAUGUGUACUGUACCUAUUUCAGAGUGUGAUGGACAGCGAUGAUGAAGAGGAGCGCAGCAGUGGUUGUGGGGGUGGGAGGGGUAUGGCAAUGCCAAUGUGUGCACGAGGUACUUCUCCCCCUUCUUCUGUCUACCGCAAGGUAGUCCAAGAGACCAACUACGAUUCACCCGACAGCAUGAAGGCACUAACAAAAGCUGCGUAUAGUUACGGAACUCUCCCCAGAAUUCACAGCCAUAAAUCCGCCAGUUUACCAGCGAGAGGGAAAGAUACAGAUAAC